rnacentral:misc_RNA from 1 species
GAUGAAGAACGCAGCGAAAUGCGAUAAGUAAUGUGAAUUGCAGAAUUCAGUGAAUCAUCGAGUCUUUGAACGCACAUUGCGCCCCCUGGUAUUCCGGGGGGCAUGCCUGUCCGAGCGUCAUUGCUGCCCUCAAGCACGGCUUGUGUGUUGGGCCUCCGUCCUCCUCCCGGGGGACGGGCCCGAAAGGCAGCGGCGGCACCGCGUCCGGUCCUCGAGCGUAUGGGGCUUCGUCACCCGCUCUUGUAGGCCCGGCCGGCGCUUGCCGACACAUCAAUCUUUUUUCCAGGUUGACCUCGGAUCAGGUAGGGAUACCCGCUAAACUUAAGCAUAUCAAUAAGCGGAGGA